GAUGAAGAACGCAGCGAAUCGCGAUAUGUAGUGUGAUCUGCCUCUAGUGAAUCAUCAAAUCUUUGAACGCAUCUUGCACCCUUUGGUAUUCCAAAGGGUACGCCUGUUUCAGUAUCAUUAUAACCUUUCUCCCCAAGGCUUUUUGGCCAAGGAGGGAAAGAGCAUAACCGGUGGCCCAGCGGUCUCCCUUCAGGGGGAUUGUCUCGGCUGGAAUGACUGUUGCAAUGGUGGGCCAAAUGGUCUUCCGCACUUGAUAAAUGUACUUUUAUAAAGAGCGGGACCGGUCUGCCGAAAGUUGUAACUAAACCCUUUACCUUUGAUCUGAAAUCAGGCGGGAUUACCCGCUGAACUUAAGCAUAUCAAUAACGGAGGA
rnacentral:misc_RNA from 1 species